rnacentral:misc_RNA from 1 species
UCGGACUACUGGGGUUUCUAAUCCUGUUUGAUACCCACACUUUCGAGCAUCAGCGUCAGUUACAAUCCAGUAAGCUGCCUUCGCAAUCGGAGUUCUUCGUGAUAUCUAAGCAUUUCACCGCUACACCACGAAUUCCGCCUACCUCUGUUGCACUCAAGGUCGCCAGUAUCAACUGCAAUUUUACGGUUGAGCCGCAAACUUUCACAACUGACUUAACAACCCGCCUACGCUCCCUUUAAACCCAAUAAAUCCGGAUAACGCUCGGAUCCUCCGUAUUACCGCGGCUGCUGGCACGGAGUUAGCCGAUCCUUAUUCAUACGGUACAUACAAAAAGCCACACGUGGCUCACUUUAUUCCCGUAUAAAAGAAGUUUACAACCCAUAGGGCAGUCAUCCUUCAC